rnacentral:lncRNA from 1 species
AACCGGACCUACAAAGGAUCCACCGGGUCAGUAUCCAACCCACAAAUCCAAAAUACCCAACUCACGAACCCCACACAAAUUCCCGAAAUCGGUUUCCUAAAGCCGAUCACUGUAACUCGUCGGAGAUCCUAAAAAUCACACCGCCGGGACCCACUAAGUAAACUCACCAACUCGUACCACGAGUCACCCACUACCACAAA